ACGCUGGCGGCACGCUUAACACAUGCAAGUCGAACGGAGUUUAAAGAGCUUGCUUUUUAAACUUAGUGGCGGACGGGUGAGUAACACGUGAGCAAUCUGCCUUUCAGAGGGGGAUAGCAGUUGGAAACGACUGAUAAUACCGCAUAAUAUAACGAAGCCGCAUGACUUUGUUAUCAAAGAUUUUUAUCGCUGAAAGAUGAGCUCGCGUCUGAUUAGGUAGUUGGUGAGGUAACGGCUCACCAAGCCGACGAUCAGUAGCCGGACUGAGAGGUUGAACGGCCACAUUGGGACUGAGACACGGCCCAGACUCCUACGGGAGGCAGCAGUGGGGAAUAUUGCACAAUGGGCGCAAGCCUGAUGCAGCGAUGCCGCGUGAGGGAAGAAGGUUUUAGGAUUGUAAACCUCUGUCCUAUGGAAAGAUAAUGACGGUACCAUAGGAGGAAGCUCCGGCUAACUACGUGCCAGCCGCCGC
rnacentral:rRNA from 1 species